UCAUAUGUACAUGCCUACAAAGUUGAUGCAUCGGAUCCCAUUAGAACUAUGUAGUUAAGUGUGUUUGGGCUAGAGUAAUACUGGGAUGGAUGACCUCCUGAGAAGUCUUAUUGUUACAUGCC
rfam:Picea glauca, whole genome shotgun sequence.